rnacentral:miRNA from 1 species
CCGCUGGCACGUUGGAGCCCUCGCC